rnacentral:lncRNA from 1 species
AGGACUCCUGGAAGCCCAGAGGACCGGACCAGGGGCGUGGUGGGGAGCCGUAGACCCGAGUUUUUAUCCUUCUCUGGCGCCGACACUCGGCUGCGGAAUCGAGUUUGAGCUCGGUGUAGCUGAAGUUUAAAUUGUAGCUGUUUCAAAGGUAGACCCCACCUCACCCCCACCCCUGGACCAAGACCUCUGGAAGCGUCCUGCCUGGAAGCCGCUUGUGGGGAGGGCUCUCCUAGGGUCUCCAGGCUCCCGCUGGAGCACGCCUGGAGGUGCCUUGGGAGUCUGAGGAACCCCAGAUUCAGCACCCCUGCUUAACCUGCUUUUAAGAAGAAAAAAAUGGAACUUGAUAAACUUCACUCAAAGGAGAGACCCACUAAUAACUCCACACACCUCACACCGAGUGAAGGCGCUGAGACAAUGUAUGUGUGCUCCAGGAAUGACUGGAUGAAACAAAAAGAGAGUCUGGAUGCCAUUAAAAUGUUUGACUAUUGGAUUCCCACGGUUUGGGAUGGGAAGCAGAACUCGGUGAAACUGUAGGUUCUGUGUCCGGGCCAAGCGUUGCUGAAAGGUGGAAGAAUUCAUGGAAAGAAGGUUAUACCAGAAACCAAGAUCUGCUUUUUAAAAGGGAACAUGUACGCUCAUGUUUUGGCUUGAAUUCACUGCCUUUCACCUAUGUGUGGUCCCUCCUGUGCCGAGUCAGCAUGGAGUUCAGGAUGAGGGUACAGAACCACCCGUGUUAGUCCAUUUGUGCUGCUGUAACAAAAUACCCAAGACUGGGUAUUUUAUGAAGAACAGAAAUUUACUUCUCACAAUUCUGGAGGCUGGGAAGUCCAAGGUCAAAGGAGCAGCAUUUUCCUCUCUG